rnacentral:lncRNA from 1 species
CAAAAUCAUACACUAUAUUUAGCCUUAGACUUAAAAUAAUACAUAUUCUUUAACAUGGUACACUAAUAGUCACUUUUCUUUAAUAAAGUGGUGCACUUUUAAUCACAACCUUAAACACCGUUUGUUUUUUAACAGGACUUUCCUCACGUGCCUGUCACAUGAUUUCCAUUUCAAAGAAAACAGAUUUCUCUGCAAAAGAUCAACGUUCUCUUCCUUCUCUUUCCCAUUUCUUCCCCCAAUUUUCAUAACCCUAGUUUAUAAAUUCACGAGACCAGGUGGGUAAUCAGGUGAGUCAGAUUGGUUUUGUUGGAGAAAGACAAGAAAACGCAAUGAAGAUUCAAGGGUGUACACAUUUCUAUUUUUUGUAGUUCAAUAUCGACAAAUUUAACUAUCACUACCACAAGAAUGAAACUUUUCAGUUAGAAACUUUUAUUGCCACUUCCACAUCCUCUAGAAAGGCACAUCAUUAACUAUUUUCUCUCCUAUAGCAUAUCGAAUCUUUAACUUUGUUCUGAUUCUAUUUCCUAUUGCUAGCUUGAUCUCCUUUUAGAUUUUGAAAUUUCAGUAUAUUAUUAUUCAUUUAGUAGCAGCUAAUUUGCUUGAUUACUAGCGGAAGGAAUAGACACUCAUUGAUUGACUAUGAAAUAAACUAAGGUAAAUAAUAAUUCAUCCAGAUUAUACUACUCUCUUGGAUAUGUUUCUGCAAUGUGGUAGAAGUUUUAUGAAUUUGAGAUCUUAUAAAAAAAAAAAGAUUUAUGAAUUUGAGUUUUUAUAGGAAUAUGAAGUGCAUAAAUACCUCUAGUUCUUUACUUGUUCAAAAGGUAUGUUUGGUACUUAGUAUGUGUUUUACCUCUUGUUGGAAUCAAGAUCAUGCUACUUGUGGAAACACAUAGUCAUGAGAAAGUAGAGACAGUGUCUUAGUGCUUUUCUUAAGCGACUGCAAUUGCCAAUUUAAACUACUCUGUUGUUAAUAGUUAACAAGUUCCUGUUGGUAAUAUCCUUUUCUCCACCAUCUUUUCAAAUAAGAAUAUAGUUUUCAUUGGAUAACCAUAGUGUGAAUAAGCUCCAAUUAUUGUAUUAAAUGUCACAACAUCUGGUGUAGAUGUUAGACGAAAACCUUCUAAACAUCCUCUAAGUUGCCACAUUAUGCAUAUGCUUCUAUUAACGAGCUUUCCACAUGCAGGUUUGUCCCAAACCUCCCCUUAACUACCCAAGAAUGCACCUGCCUGCAGAUUGCAAGAAAUGGUAGUAACGAGCAGGCCUUCAGAGUAACUGAAAAUGUAUAUUCAUCUCAAGCCAUAUCAUUUUUUAGCAUCUUAUGGAAGAUUUCUAACCCAGCAACAACCUCAUCAUUGGGAACAAGGUCGGCUAUCAGUGCAUUCCAUGAUGCACAAGAUGUUAUACGCAACCAUAAUCAUGACAUUCUAUAGAGGCUGAGUAUGAAAGGGCCCCAGAAACGGUGAAUUCAUUAGGUUCAGUAUUGUUCUUUCUCAUCAAACAGAAUUGUGUCAAUGCCUUAUUGAAGGCCUUUUGAUGGUAAAGUCCAGAUACAAAAGCAGUCCAAGAUAUAACGUUCCUACUGACAAGCCCUCGGGACAAAUUCUCGGCCUCCUCAAUCAUUUUUGCUAUUCAAAAAUGUACCUUUUACUUUUCUAUGUAAUGAAUGAUUUAGAUGAAUGAGAAUUUUGAUGAAGCUUUUGGCAUAAAAUUUCUAUUUCAUUGCAACUGGUCAUACUUCGUUAAACAUCGACAAUAAAAACUAAUACUUUGACAAAAUGAUUCGCUU